rnacentral:tRNA from 1 species
GGAGAGAUGGCUGAGUGGUCGAAAGCACUGCCUUGCUAAGGCAGCGAGUGGGAAACUGCUCCGUGGGUUCAAAUCCCACUCUCUCCGCCA